GACGAACGCUGGCGGCGUGCUUAACACAUGCAAGUCGAACGGAAAGGCCCUGCUUUUGUGGGGUGCUCGAGUGGCGAACGGGUGAGUAACACGUGAGUAACCUGCCCUUGACUUUGGGAUAACUUCAGGAAACUGGGGCUAAUACCGGAUAGGAGCUCCUGCUGCAUGGUGGGGGUUGGAAAGUUUCGGCGGUUGGGGAUGGACUCGCGGCUUAUCAGCUUGUUGGUGGGGUAGUGGCUUACCCAGGCUUUGACGGGUCGCCGGCCUGAGAGGGUGACCGGCCACAUUGGGACUGAGAUAGGGACCAGACUCCUACGGGAGGCAGCAGUGGGGAAUAUUGCACAGUGGGCGGAAGUCUGAUGCAGCAACGCCGCGUGCGGGAUGACGGCUUUCGGGUUGUAAACCGCUUUCGCCUGUGACGAAGCGGGAGUGACGGUAAUGGGUAAAGAAGCACCGGCUAACUACGUG
rnacentral:rRNA from 1 species